rnacentral:rRNA from 2 species
AAAAAAGGUAAGCUACUAAGAGCGAAUGGUGGAUGCCUUGACUGGUAAAGGCGAUGAAGGACGUACUAGACUGCGAUAAGCUACGGGGAGCUGUCAAGAAGCUUUGAUCCGUAGAUUUCCGAAUGGGGCAACCCAAUGUAUAGAGAUAUACAUUACCUAUAUAGGAGCGAACGAGGGGAAUUGAAACAUCUUAGUACCCUCAGGAAAAGAAAUCAAUAGAGAUUGCGUCAGUAGCGGCGAGCGAAAGCGCAAGAGGGCAAACCCAGUGCUUGCACUGGGGGUUGUAGGACUGCAAUGUGCAAGAGGUGAGUUUAGCAGAACAUUCUGGAAAGUAUAGCCAUAGAGGGUGAUAGUCCCGUAUGCGAAAAACAAACCUUAGCUAGCAGUAUCCUGAGUAGGGCGGGACACGAGAAAUCCUGUCUGAAGCUGGGUCGACCACGAUCCAACCCUAAAUACUAAUACCAGAUCGAUAGUGCACAAGUACCGUGAGGGAAAGGUGAAAAGAACUGAGGUGAUCAGAGUGAAAUAGAACCUGAAACCAUUUGCUUACAAUCAUUCAGAGCACUAUGUAGCAAUACAGUGUGAUGGACUGCCUUUUGCAUAAUGAGCCUGCGAGUUGUGGUGUCUGGCAAGGUUAAGCAAACGCGAAGCCGUAGCGAAAGCGAGUCUGAAUAGGGCGCUUAGUCAGAUGCUGCAGACCCGAAACGAAGUGAUCUAUCCAUGAGCAAGUUGAAGCUAGUGUAAGAACUAGUGGAGGACUGAACCCAUAGGCGUUGAAAAGCCCCGGGAUGACUUGUGGAUAGGGGUGAAAGGCCAAUCAAACUUCGUGAUAGCUGGUUCUCUCCGAAAUAUAUUUAGGUAUAGCGUUGUGUCGUAAUAUAAGGGGGUAGAGCACUGAAUGGGCUAGGGCAUACACCAAUGUACCAAACCCUAUCAAACUCCGAAUACCUUAUAUGUAAUCACAGCAGUCAGGCGGCGAGUGAUAAAAUCCGUCGUCAAGAGGGAAACAACCCAGACUACCAGCUAAGGUCCCUAAAUCUUACUUAAGUGGAAAACGAUGUGAAGUUACUUAAACAACCAGGAGGUUGGCUUAGAAGCAGCCAUCCUUUAAAGAAAGCGUAAUAGCUCACUGGUCUAGUGAUUUUGCGCGGAAAAUAUAACGGGGCUAAAGUAAGUACCGAAGCUGUAGACUUGACUUUGUCAAGUGGUAGGAGAGCGUUCUAUUUGCGUCGAAGGUAUACCGGUAAGGAGUGCUGGAGCGAAUAGAAGUGAGCAUGCAGGCAUGAGUAGCGAUAAUUAAUGUGAGAAUCAUUAACGCCGUAAACCCAAGGUUUCCUACGCGAUGCUCGUCAUCGUAGGGUUAGUCGGGUCCUAAGUCGAGUCCGAAAGGGGUAGACGAUGGCAAAUUGGUUAAUAUUCCAAUACCAACAUUAGUGUGCGAUGGAAGGACGCUUAGGGCUAAGGGGGCUAGCGGAUGGAAGUGCUAGUCUAAGGUCGUAGGUGCUUAUACAGGCAAAUCCGUAUAAGAAUACACCGAGAACUGAAAGGCUUUUUGAAGUCUUCGGAUGGAUAGAAGAACCCCUGAUGCCGUCGAGCCAAGAAAAGUUUCUAAGUUUAGCUAAUGUUGCCCGUACCGUAAACCGACACAGGUGGGUGGGAUGAGUAUUCUAAGGCGCGUGGAAGAACUCUCUUUAAGGAACUCUGCAAAAUAGCACCGUAUCUUCGGUAUAAGGUGUGGUUCGCUUCGUAUUAGGAUUUACUCCGAAAGCGAAGAAACUUACAACAAAGAGUCCCUCCCGACUGUUUACCAAAAACACAGCACUCUGCUAACUCGUAAGAGGAUGUAUAGGGUGUGACGCCUGCCCGGUGCUCGAAGGUUAAUUGAUGGGGUUAGCAUUAGCGAAGCUCUUGAUCGAAGCCCGAGUAAACGGCGGCCGUAACUAUAACGGUCCUAAGGUAGCGAAAUUCCUUGUCGGUUAAAUACCGACCUGCAUGAAUGGCGUAACGAGAUGGGAGCUGUCUCAAAGAGGGAUCCAGUGAAAUUGUAGUGGAGGUGAAAAUUCCUCCUACCCGCGGCAAGACGGAAAGACCCCGUGGACCUUUACUACAGCUUGACACUGCUAUUUGGAUAAGAAUGUGCAGGAUAGGUGGGAGGCUUUGAGUAUAUGACGCCAGUUGUAUAUGAGCCAUUGUUGAGAUACCACUCUUUCUUAUUUGGGUAGCUAACCAGCUUGAGUUAUCCUCAAGUGGGACAAUGUCUGGUGGGUAGUUUGACUGGGGCGGUCGCCUCCCAAAUAAUAACGGAGGCUUACAAAGGUUGGCUCAGAACGGUUGGAAAUCGUUCGUAGAGUAUAAAGGUAUAAGCCAGCUUAACUGCAAGACAUACAAGUCAAGCAGAGACGAAAGUCGGUCUUAGUGAUCCGGUGGUUCUGUGUGGAAGGGCCAUCGCUCAAAGGAUAAAAGGUACCCCGGGGAUAACAGGCUGAUCUCCCCCAAGAGCUCACAUCGACGGGGAGGUUUGGCACCUCGAUGUCGGCUCAUCGCAUCCUGGGGCUGGAGCAGGUCCCAAGGGUAUGGCUGUUCGCCAUUUAAAGCGGUACGCGAGCUGGGUUCAGAACGUCGUGAGACAGUUCGGUCCCUAUCUGCCGUGGGCGUAAGAAGAUUGAAGAGAUUUGACCCUAGUACGAGAGGACCGGGUUGAACAAACCACUGGUGUAGCUGUUGUUCUGCCAAGAGCAUCGCAGCGUAGCUAAGUUUGGAAAGGAUAAACGCUGAAAGCAUCUAAGCGUGAAGCCAACUCUAAGAUGAAUCUUCUCUAAGCUCUCUAGAAGACUACUAGUUUGAUAGGCUGGGUGUGUAAUGGAUGAAAGUCCUUUAGCUGACCAGUACUAAUAGAGCGUUUGGCUUAUCUUUAAUAAAGCAU